UACGAAGGGGCUAGCGUUGCUCGGAAUCACUGGGCGUAAAGGGUGCGUAGGCUGGGUUUUAAGUCAGGGGUGAAAUCCUGGAGCUCAACUCCAGAACUGCCUUUGAUACUGAAGAUCUUGAGUCCGGGAGAGGUGAGUGGAACUGCGAGUGUAGAGGUGAAAUUCGUAGAUAUUCGCAAGAACACCAGUGGCGAAGGCGGCUCACUGGCCCGGUACUGACGCUGAGGCACGAAAGCGUGGGGAGCAACAGG
rnacentral:rRNA from 1 species